GACCUACGGGGGGCAGCAGUGAGGAAUAUUGGUCAAUGGGCGGAAGCCUGAACCAGCCAAGUCGCGUGAGGGAAUAAGGCCCUACGGGUCGUAAACCUCUUUUGCCGGGGAGCAAGGGCCGGGACGCGUCCCGGCCCGGAGAGUACCCGGAGAAAAAGCAUCGGCUAACUCCGUGCCAGCAGCCGCGGGAAUACGGAGGAUGCGAGCGUUAUCCGGAUUUAUUGGGUUUAAAGGGUGCGUAGGCGGGCUUUUAAGGCAGCGGUAAAAAUUCGAGGCUCAACCCCGUCCGGCCGUUGAAACGGGGG
rnacentral:rRNA from 1 species